GACCGGUUAGCUCAGUUGGUAGAGCAUCGGACUUUUAAUCCGGUGGUCCUGGGUUCAAGUCCCAGACCGGUCA
rnacentral:tRNA from 1 species